CGGGACGGGGUGGAGGUAAUGCUUGGGGAAGUCUGGCUUAUGGAGGGGGGUAACUACGGGAAACUGUAGCUAAUACCGCGUAAUAUCGAAAGAUUAAAGUGUGGGACCUUCGGGCCACAUGCCAUAGGAUGAGCCCAAGUGGGAUUAGGUAGUUGGUGAGGUAAAGGCUCACCAAGCCGACGAUCUCUAGCUGGUCUGAGAGGAUGACCAGCCACACUGGGACUGAGACACGGCCCAG
rnacentral:rRNA from 1 species